UAAUAACCAUAUUCUUCUUAUAAGUACAAACGAAUAGCUAAUUCAACCUAACGAAUUCUCGCAAAUAGAGUGUAAUUAAUUUGACUAUAACUCAAUAAAGCGAGUGAAUAGAUACAACGUGGAGGAAAACAUAAAGGUUUCUGUUCGAUUAUACAGGAUAUUGCAAAAUACAUUGGACGUGCUUGUAGAAUCGAAUUUAGAUACCAAGACGAUAAAAGAAAAAGUUGAAGCUUGAGACAUUGUGAUUUUCACUUCUGACAUGUAACGUACACUUCUGAUUAUGCCAACAUACAAAAUUAAAAUGUUCAACGCCUGUACCAAGAAUCAAUCGCGCAUAGUCAUUACAAGCAAUUGUAAAAAUCACUAUACAACAACCGUUUCUCGACACAUUUGAAAUCUUGGAUUACAAUAGUGAUAUAUCUUCUAAUUGAUUCACUUCGAAUUGUUUCAUUUAUUAAUUUAUCAUUUGUUCGUUUUCUUUCGUUAUAAAAAAUUGUUCGAACAGCAUUGUGCUUUCUUACUGAAACUACGGAUCCUAAGUUCUGUUUCUGUUUAUUGUAUUUGACCAUCGUAGGACUUGCAUCAUCAGAAAUAUUUUGAAGUGUUACUAUUACGUUACCAUACUCGUGAUAUGUAAACAUCAGUUUCUAACGCAUGAUCACGUGUAUUGUUUUUAUUUAGGGAGAGGACUUAUAAGUAUUUUGAACAGAAAAUAUCUACAAUGGUAACAAAUAACUGAAACUUAAAAAAAAACGUUCUUCUCGUCCAAAUGAAAUUUUCAAAAUCACUACUAAAAAUAUCUGAAAGAUUGCUGAAUUAAUUUGUGGUAAUAUUCUGGAAGGCUGUGCAUCAAGUAUGUGACGAAAUUUUGGCUUGCGUAUUUCUCUUUAUUAUUACUUACUCAAGAAGUUGAAAAUUUACGACGGAAAUUAAACAAGUGUUCAAGUUCAGUUACAGAGUGAUCAUUCAGAAACUGAAGGGUUUGAAAGAGCCCGUAUUUGCCAGCAGGAAAAUUCAUUCAUUUGAGGGAUAUUGUUUUUCAUACAUAAUACUGAAAAAUCAAAUUAAUUAUAUUUCCAAAUAAAAAAUUAAAAAACAUUUUCUUUGUAAAAUAUGCUGCUGAAAAAAAGUCGUAAAAAAUUCUUAAAAAAAUCAACGAUUCAACGAUGAGAUGGAAUAUCAAGUAAGAAAUUAUUGACAAAAGACGGAGGAAAUAUCGCUAACCAAUUUGAUCCUGAGGAGUGAUGGGAUUUGCAUAGCAAUAAAAAUGCAUAGCUCCGAUAUUUAAGUUGCAUUUAUUGAAAAAGGAAGAAUAUAUAAGUACAAGUUUGAUAUUCGAGGAUCACGAGUUUGUAGCAAGUUUGCACUUGAUCUUAAUCGUGCUUCAAGUUGCAAAGGUCUGUGUUGAUUUUCUCGAAUUAUCGGGAAGCGAGGUAGACUCGUUGUUGCGCCAGUUUCUUCUUACAUUCUUAAACCUUCAAAACGGAUCUUCGUCGACGAUGAUCAUUUUCUCACAAAAUCGAAUGAAAGUGCACAUUUCCUCUUUCAGCCGGUUCAUCUUGCAAGGCUAUCUUCUUAUUUACAUCGCGGGAAAUAAUGAUGGGCCUUCGGAAGAGGCUUCAUCUUUGAAGUACACGUAUUCCUAAAAAACAAAAAAAAAAAAGGAAGAAGAAAUUUCGUAGCAAUUGGCGAAAAGCGAGAAGUAAACUUUUCAGUGACGUGUCCAACUCUUUAGAGAACGUGAGUAACAGGAUGUACUCGCGGAGUAUAGAGUCCCACAGAUGCAUGAAGGACGCAAUUUGACGGCGACCGUCGGCCGACAUCACCUGACAAUCAAUGCGUUACAAUGCGAAUGAUAUAUAAAAUUCAAUGUACCUUAACGCUAGAACUACCGACGAGUAAAGCAUUAGCUCUAGCAAAAUUAGCUCUAAUCAGAGAUAAGACAAAAAUUAGAUGGUACCUUGAAGUGUAACUCUGGAUACAUGCAACAACUACAAAUAUUCGGCCCCUCUAUAUAGCAGAGUUCUUCUUUCUCUGCAUUAUAGAUCGUGAAACACACGCCCAAUAGACGGUGAUAUACCUUGUGGUUGUGCCGUAAUGACCGUUGGCUUCAGAUAAACAGAGGGUAUGGUGAACACCGGAUUCUGUUCCAUUUCUAUAUAUCGAACGUUUUCCUGGUUUGGUUCUGCGUGAUUGUAAAAACUCAUUUGAACACUGACUUAUUCUA